AAUAACGCUGGCGGCGGCCUAACACUGUACAGUCGAGCGAGAAAGCUUCUUCGGAAGGUGAGUCAGCGGCGAACGUUACGCGUGAGAAUCUACCUUUUAGUGAAGGAUACCCUUGAGAAAUCGAGGUUAAUACUGCAUAAGCUCCCUUCGUGGGAGAGAGAUGGCCUCUUUGCUGUCGCUAAAAGAUGAGCUUGCGUGCUAUUAGCUAGUUGGUAGGGUAAGGGCCUACCAAGCGCGGUGAUGGCUAGCCGGCCUGAGUAGGGUGUACGGCCACACUGGAACUUAGACACAGUCCAGCACUCCUACGGAGGCAGAGUGAGAAUCUGCGCAAUGGGCGAAAGCUGACGCAGCGACACCAGUGGAGGAUGAAG
rnacentral:rRNA from 1 species